rnacentral:lncRNA from 1 species
CAAGAAUGUAUGGUCAUGGCUGAAAGGCAAUGGGACUCAAUCCCUUCAGCAUGGAACAUCAAAAAUCUAUUGGAAUCAGUCCAGAAAACCUCUCAGCUUGUUCCAGAGAAGACCGCUCAUAUGCUCGACUUACUGGAAAGGAAGAUCUUAAGCAGCAAGAAAAUAAAUGUUGCCUUGAGCCAGAAUAUAAGUGACACAAUCGUCAACUACUUAUUAAAAGUGAAUCUAAAUAAGGAGCAGGAGGAAAGCACUGCUGCUGUCCUACUAGCUUUAGAAGCCCACAGCCCCAAAGUGGUUAUCAAUAAUUUUUGGGACCGAAUGAAGGAGCAAAGCGUGCCCCCGCCAAAUCUUCUUCGGACAAUGGGGAAGCUCAUCCUUUAUGAAGGUAGGGGUGACUGUGAGAGAGAAGAGCAUUUGGGGUAGGGGCAGAAGGAAGAUGGAGGAAUGAAUGAGUCCCUCAAUCCAUCUCAUGAUUUUUCUAAUUCCCUGAUGAGCUUGAGUCAUUGAGGUCCCCGAUAGAGAAAGGCACACCAGAAAUCCAGCAGAGAGUUGAAGGAGGGUUGAGAAGACUCAGAAUCUUUACAGAAGAUAGGGUGUUGGAAGUAUUGGCAAGGGGUUGAUUGGAGCACCCCCAUCCCAACUCAGAGAAGGCA